CAAUAGCGUAUAUUUAAGUUGCUGCAGUUAAAAAGCUCGUAGUUGGAUUUCGGGUGGGAAUGGCCGGUCCGCCGUUUCGGUGUGCACUUGCUACGCCCACCUUGCUGCCGGGGACGUGCUCUUGAGUUCACGCUCGGGACACGGAGUCGGCGAGGUUACUUUGAGUAAAUUAGAGUGUUCAAAGCAGGCCUGCGCUCUGAAUACAUUAGCAUGGAAUAACACGAUAGGACUCUGGCCUAUCUUGUUGGUCUGUAGGACCGGAGUAAUGAUUAAGAGGGACAGUCGGGGGCACUCGUAUUUCAUUGUCAGAGGUGAAAUUCUUGGAUUUAUGAAAGACGAACUACUGCGAAAGCAUUUGCCAAGGAUGUUUUCAUUAA
rnacentral:rRNA from 1 species